AUGGCGGCCAAAUCUAGUUGGCUUAACUAUAAGAAUUGUGUUGUUCUUAAGGUGGUUAAAGGAGAGGUUUCUACCACGGAUCUGUUGACUCAACUUAAUGGAAUCUUUUGUAAGAACAAGUGGCCAUCGUAGAUCAGAGAAUUGGAAAGUAAGAAAUUCUUACUGAGAAUCCCACCAUGGAAAAAUGUGGAUGACCUAAUUGAGUUUCCACCAUUUUAGCUACCUAUUGCUGGGGUAUCUAUCAAAAUAUGUGAAUGGGAAGGAAUGUUCGAUGAAUUUGGGGCACUUACCGAGGCUUGGGUGUAGAUCGAAGGAAUUCCACCCAAGUGGUGUGCUUGGAAAGUAUUUGCCCAGAUCACAGCCUGUUUUGGGUUUCUGGUGGAUGUUGAUUAGAAUGGCAUUUUCAAAAGUUUUUAUGAAAUUGUCCGAGUUAAAGUUGCUUGCAGAGAUCCCAGGAAAAUCCCUUUUGAGAGGCUGGUGGAGAUGAAAAAGAAACUCUAUCUGCUGUUCUUUACAGUGGAAGGGUUUGAGCAAAAUGAUGAGGAGUCUGAUGGAGGUGAUGAUGAUACAGGUCUGGACAAUUUGGAUGAUAAUAAUGAGGACAACAACAGGGAUACAUCUGGUAAGGAUGGCAUGGAAGAAGACAACGAUGAAGAAGCAAUUGAUGAACUGGAUAAGGCUAACUUCCCUACCAAGACCGUCUCCUUCGUAAGUUCAAGCAAAAAUCUGUCUCAAGUGGCUGCUUCUGCAAUGGAGUUCCAUCCUCUCGGCAUGAUGAAUGCAAUGCAUGAAAACUUCGUUGAAGAGCUCGGGGGCAAGACACCGGUGAAAAAUGGUGGUGAUGAGACUCAACCAACCUCGAUGUUUGUGAGGUCUGAUGCUCUGUCAGCCCACCUGGACUAUUGUUCUGAACAGCUUAGCAAGUUUGAAAUGGAUGAAUCCAAUGUGGAAGAAGAGAAUGCCAACAUUGAAAUGCAAUGUUUGCUAGAUGAGCUAGCUUUGGCAAUGAAUUCAGUGAAGAGAUCAUUACUAGACACAUUGGAGAGAGCUGAUACAGUGGUUAAGAAGAAACCCAAUGUCAAAAUUCACUUACUUGGGGGCCGAUACUUGCUGAUAAGCCUAUGA
rnacentral:rRNA from 1 species